rnacentral:rRNA from 1 species
GCUACGGGGGGCAGCAGUGGGGAAUAUUGCGCAAUGGGCGAAAGCCUGACGCAGCGACGCCGCGUGAGGGAUGAAGGUCCUCGGAUCGUAAAACUCUGUCAGCAGGGAAGAACGGUCACUGUGCUAAUCAGCAGUGAAUUGACGGUACCUGCAAAGGAAGCACCGGCUCACUACGUGCGCGCAGCCGCGGUACUACGGGGGGUGCGAGCGUUAAUGGGAAUUACUGGGCGUAAAGCGCGCGUAGGCGGUCUGACAAGUCAAGGGUGAAAUCCCCGGCCUCAUAGUGGGAACUGCCUUUGAAACUGUCAAACUGGAGUGUGUGAGAGGAUAGUGGAAUUCCAGGUGUAGAAGUGAAAUCCGUAGAGAUCUGGCGGAACAUCAGUGGCGAAGGCGACUUUCUGGCACAUAACUGACGCUGAGGAGCGAAAGCGUGGGUAGCAAACAGGAUUAGAUACCCCUGUAGUC